UUGUGUAUUUCUACAAAGGCAUUCGCAUCGAAAGCCUAUAACGUUUAUGAGGAGCCAACCCACAUCUUAAAUAUUAUGAACAUUACCACCGAACGCUAGAAGGAGCCCGCGAGCGAGUCAUCAAUGGAUCUAACGGGUUUAAUACAGUAAGGACGCUAGCUUUUCUGCUACUGUGAGCUGUGGCAGUUUGAUACAAUGAUCAUCAGUAGCUUACAAACAAAGAUUUCCCUACAUCUCCAUUUAAGCCUUUGCCUGAGAGUAAACACUGAGAAGGACAAGUUUGAGGUC